GACGAACGCUGGCGGCGUGCCUAAUACAUGCAAGUAGAACGCUGAAGGAGGAGCUUGCUUCUCUGGAUGAGUUGCGAACGGGUGAGUAACACGUAGGUAACCUGCCUGGUAGCGGGGGAUAACUAUUGGAAACGAUAGCUAAUACCGCAUAAGAGUAGAUGUUGCAUGACAUUUGCUUAAAAGGUGCAAUUGCAUCACUACCAGAUGGACCUGCGUUGUAUUAGCUAGUUGGUGGGGUAACGGCUCACCAAGGCGACGAUACAUAGCCGACCUGAGAGGGUGAUCGGCCACACUGGGACUGAGACACGGCCCAGACUCCUACGGGAGGCAGCAGUAGGGAAUCUUCGGCAAUGGACGGAAGUCUGACCGAGCAACGCCGCGUGAGUGAAGAAGGUUUUCGGAUCGUAAAGCUCUGUUGUAAGAGAAGAACGAGUGUGAGAGUGGAAAGUUCACACUGUGACGGUAUCUACCAGAAAGGACG
rnacentral:rRNA from 1 species